GACGAACGCUGGCGGCGUGCCUAAUACAUGCAAGUCGAGCGCAGGAAGCCGUCUGAACCCUUCGGGGGGACGACGGUGGAAUGAGCGGCGGACGGGUGAGUAACACGUAAAGAACCUGCCCAUAGGUCUGGGAUAACCACGAGAAAUCGGGGCUAAUACCGGACGUGUCAUCGGACCGCAUGGUCCGCUGAUGAAAGGCGCUUCGGCGUCGCCCAUGGAUGGCUUUGCGGUGCAUUAGCUAGUUGGUGGGGUAACGGCCCACCAAGGCGACGAUGCAUAGCCGACCUGAGAGGGUGAUCGGCCACACUGGGACUGAGACACGGCCCAGACUCCGACGGGAGGCAGCAGUAGGGAAUCUUCCACAAUGGACGAAAGUCUGAUGGAGCAACGCCGCGUGAACGAUGAAGGCUUUCGGGUCGUAAAGUUCUGUUGUAAGGGAAGAACAAGUGCCGCAGGCAAUGGCGGCACCUUGACGGUACCUUGCGAGAAAGCCACGGCUAACUACGUGCCAGCAGCCGCCGUAAUAC
rnacentral:rRNA from 1 species